rnacentral:lncRNA from 1 species
GAAUUAUUGAUCCUGUUAGGCAACAUUACUCAUGAUCUACUUAUUUUAUACCCAUUCGUUUGAAGAAUAAAUUAAGAAUUAGUACAAGUAGCAAGAAUAAUAGAAGUGCUUCUAUGGUUUCACUCUCAGAUUGCAGCAGAGCUCUUGGCCAAACAAAAAAUAAGAAGGAAAUGAGAGGAUGAGAAGUUGAUCAACAUAUUAACACUAGCCA